GAUGAACGCUGGCGGCGUGCCUAAUACAUGCAAGUCGAGCGAACAGACGAGGAGCUUGCUCCUUCGACGUUAGCGGCGGACGGGUGAGUAACACGUAGGUAACCUACCUAUAAGACUGGGAUAACUUCGGGAAACCGGAGCUAAUACCGGAUAAUAUUUCGACCCGCAUGGUUCGAUAGUGAAAGAUGGCUUUGCUAUCACUUAUAGAUGGACCUGCGCCGUAUUAGCUAGUUGGUAAGGUAACGGCUUACCAAGGCAACGAUACGUAGCCGACCUGAGAGGGUGAUCGGCCACACUGGAACUGAGACACGGUCCAGACUCCUACGGGAGGCAGCAGUAGGGAAUCUUCCGCAAUGGGCGAGAGCGUGACGGAGCAACACCGCGUGAGUGAUGAAGGUCUUCGGAUCGUAAAACUCUGUUAUUAGGGAAGAACAAACGUGUAAGUAACUGUGCACGUCUUGACGGUACCUAAUCAGAAAGCCACGGCUAACUACGUG
rnacentral:rRNA from 1 species